UGGGCAACCUGCCCCUAGCUCUGGGAUAACUGCGGGAAACUGUAGCUAAUACCGGAUGUGACACGAGACUGCAUGGUCUUCGUGUGGAAAGAUUUAUCGGCUAGGGAUGGGCCCGCGGUCUAUCAGCUUGUUGGUGGGGUAAUGGCUCACCAAGGCGACGACGGAUAACCGGCCUGAGAGGGCGACCGGUCACACUGGGACUGAGACACGGCCCAGACUCCGUACGGGA
rnacentral:rRNA from 1 species